GUGCUGGCUUCGGUAGCACAUACACUAAAAUUGGAACAAUACAGAAGUAGUAUGGCCCCUGCACAAGGAUGACAUGCAAAUUUAUGAAGUGUUCCAUAGUUUU
ensembl:snRNA U6 U6 spliceosomal RNA